rnacentral:lncRNA from 1 species
UGAAAUAAAUUUUUUUUAGAUUUAAGUUUAAAUUGUAUUAUUAUCAUUGAGAUUAAGUUAUUUCCAAUUGGAAUUGAUUGGGUUUACAGAUUCAAGAAUCUAUGACUCUAUGUAUACUUUGAUUUGAGAUUGAGGAUUUAGACAUAGAAAAUUCAUGAAUUUGAGCUUAAAGUCCAACAACAACAACAACAACAACCCAGUGGAAUCCCACAACGAGCUUAAAGUUCAAGCAAAAAAAAAAAAUUGAGUAAUUGAAUGGGUAAUUGGACCAAGAAUGGAUAAAUCAGAUAUUUGACUCGCUGAAUAUGAAAAUGUAGUAGCUCUAACGAGACCUUGUUGAUGGAGAGUCGUUAUUUAUGGGUAAUUAACAUUGUUAUUGCAUAUUUUGCCAAGAUAAGUAGAGGCUAUAUGCUUUGGCUUGGCUUUGAGCUAAGUGAGACGUUAACCUCUUGAUUGCUUUCUUUUCAAAAAGCGUGAUUUAGAAACUUGCAUAAGUGCUUUAAAAAGGUGUUUUGACUGUCUAGUAUGUGCAGGGGCGAACAUAUGCUAGACGUAAGAGGUUUUUGAGAUAUAUACAGCUUAUGAUACGAAAUAUUUCUAUAAGCUCUUUAGCUCCAUUAUUUGGGGACUAAAGCAAUGAAAGAUGCAUCUAAUCACCUUUUGAAUUGAUCAUGACUAUGGAAGAAGUUCCAGGCAUUCAACAGAUCACUUUUAAUGACUUACAGUAAUGUUGAUAGAACCCCAUAGUUAAUCCAUUCAGGCAUGUUACUCUUUUACACUGUACAAUGAUCAGGACUGGUCUGGGAGAAGUUCAGGGCAUUCAGUCUUUGCAAUUAG